rnacentral:rRNA from 1 species
GACGAACGCUGGCGGCGUGCUUAACACAUGCAAGUCGAACGGAAAGGCCCUGCUUUUGUGGGGUGCUCGAGUGGCGAACGGGUGAGUAACACGUGAGUAACCUGCCCUUGACUUUGGGAUAACUUCAGGAAACUGGGGCUAAUACCGGAUAGGAGCUCCUGCUGCAUGGUGGGGGUUGGAAAGUUUCGGCGGUUGGGGAUGGGCUCGCGGCUUAUCAGCUUGUUGGUGGGGUAGUGGCUUACCAAGGCUUUGACGGGUAGCCGGCCUGAGAGGGUGACCGGCCGCAUUGAGAGCGAGAGCGGGCGCAGCGGCGGGGGGAGGGGGGGCGGGGGGAAUAUGGCACGAGGGGGGGCGGCCUGAGGAGCCGAGGCGGCGGGGGGGAUGCGGGCGCGAGGUUGGUAAGCUGGCUUCGCCGGGGAUGAAGGGUGAGGGACGGAAAGGGGAAAAGAAGCACCGCGUAUCUGCGUGACGGAGGCGGCGGUAAUAGGCGGAAGCGCACCCUUUUGAUC